AUUGAACGCUGGCGGCAGGCUUAACACAUGCAAGUCGAGCGGGGUGAUGGUGCUUGCACUAUCACUUAGCGGCGGACGGGUGAGUAAUGCUUAGGAAUCUGCCUAUUAGUGGGGGACAACAUCUCGAAAGGGAUGCUAAUACCGCAUACGUCCUACGGGAGAAAGCAGGGGAUCACCUGUGACCUUGCGCUAAUAGAUGAGCCUAAGUCGGAUUAGCUAGUUGGUGGGGUAAAGGCCUACCAAGGCGACGAUCUGUAGCGGGUCUGAGAGGAUGAUCCGCCACACUGGGACUGAGAGACGGCCCAGGCUCCUACGGGAGGAAGCAGUGGGGAAUAUUGGACAAUGGGGGGAACCCUGAUCCAGCCAUGCCGCGUGUGUGAAGAAGGCCUUAUGGUUGUAAAGCACUUUAAGCGAGGAGGAGGCUCUUUUGGUUAAUACCCAAGAUGAGUGGACGUUACUCGCAGAAUAAGCACCGGCUAACUCUGUGCCAGCCGCCGCCGUAA
rnacentral:rRNA from 1 species